AACCGUGUUUCGGGAGCCUUAGAGAGGAGACUAAAGUCUUCCAAGGGAGAUCGCGGCUCCACUUUCACCCUGGUACUGAGACGUUGAGCGCAAAAUUGGUAACCAAUGCUGCGCUUCCAGCAAAUUUUCCCACCAGCACCCAAUCCUGGGAUCUUUAUUCUCUUUGUCUCACAUCCUACAGGAAUGCAGUCGCGGGGUAUAUCCUUCUGAAAACCGUACUUUGCCGAAUAAUGAUUUCUUUGGAUUAGAGAACAACUCCCCUCGGUCCUGAGCCGGUAUUUCCCUUUUGCGGCUGCACAGUAGUUAAAAACAAAGCUAAAUGUUCUGGGACGUAUAGUUCUAGCGUUCGUUGGGUCACGCUGGCGAGCGUGGGCUUUCUGCAGAGCGCAACCGGCCUCGUGUGCUUUGCGGACGGUUCGCCGCGCUUGGAAAGGGAUUGGCCUGGAGUACAUCAUCUAAAGAUCCUAGGAUUGCUGCAGGUCAGCAGUCUCCACUGGAAAAAAAGAUAUUGCCUGUAUUUCAAGUCCUCUGAUGAAUCAUGUGAUCUACUAGACCCUGAAGAUACAGUGAAGAGCAAAAGUAAGAUGCUGGCAAUUUGAUGUUUGCACUGUCAUGAAGGAGAUGCACAUUUAGCAGAACUUACAAAGAGAAAUACGAAAUUACUGCUGAGCUAAGUGUCAUGAAGAAAAGUUCAUGGUACCAUGAAAGGAGACAACCAGGAGGUCUAACAGGUCCACUACCACUAUCACUACCACUAUUCUCAAUAAUACCUAAAAGAAAUAAUAAGAUACGGCAUUUAUAAAUGAUGAAUAGGAUUUUAUAAAAUUAUAUACAAUCAGAGAACCAAAAGCACUCUUGGAAAUCAAAAAGUGAUCAUUUAAAUAAGUAUUUCAAUAGACGACUUGGAAGAGUAAAUUUGUACUACCACUAAAUAUUAAAAAUGGAAAAGCAAUGUCAAGAAAGACAGAAGAACUAUACGAAUACUAGGCUAUCAGUCAAGGAUUUUCAGCAACUUAAUAAUACAAAUUCUAAAAGCAUGGAAAGAUAGAAAUUAUUUAAAAUUUAAAAAAUUUCUCCAAGUUUGCAGACAAAAAUUUAACUUGUAAUGGCCCCAACCAAGUUCUUACUAUAGUAGAUGAAAACAGACCCACACCAAGACACAUCACAAUGAAAUUUUAGAAGGUGGGUGGAAAAGAAGAAAUCCCAAAAACAUCAAAAGGCAAGAAAAGCAACAUUGGGAGCUAAAAAAUGUUGAUGGAAUGUCAUGGAAAUUCCUAGGAAAAAUGUUUUCAAUACAGAAUUCCAUACCAAGUCCAGGUUGGAAUAAGUGCUAGGGUAGCCUAAAGACAUUUUCAGAAGCUUAGGCUUUCAGAUUUUACUUUCUGUGUUCCCUGAGGAACACGGAUGAAAUGAGAAACAAAAAUGAUGGAGAAAACCAAAAAAGGGGACACAUGGGAUCCAGGCAAUAGGAGAGCCAGCAUAAGAGAGAGGCAGAGGGAUGCCCAGGAUGAAGUGAAGACCAUCUUGGAAAUCAGCCCAGAUGUGCAUGCACCAGUCCACGUGUGGCAGGACCAAGGGAAGUGUCUUCACAAAGAUGAGGUUGGUAGAACACGGGACAUGGUUUAAUAUAUUCAUGAAGACUGUCUUAGUUCAUUUAUGCUGCUAUAACAGAAUGCCAUAGUCUGAGUCAGUUACGAAGAACAGAAAUUUGUUUUCUCAGUUGUGAAGGCUAGGAAUCCAAGAUCAAGCCAUCAGCAUUUGGCAAGAGCCUUCUUGCUGUGUUUUCACAUGGCAAGUGGGUCAAGGGCAAGAGAGGGGACAGUAUUAUUAUUAUGGGCUCACUCCCACAAUAAUGAUAUUAAUUUAUUCAUGAGGGCUCUGCCCUCAUGAGUCAGACAGCUUCUGUUAGGCCUUACUUUCCAAUAUCUCUGCAUUGGGGAUCAAGUUUCCAACACGUGAACUUUGGGGAACACAUUCAAACUAUAGCAGAGGCCCUGGAGGCAGAUUUGGAAGAGAUUUUAUAAUGAGUACAAUAGAAAUUGAGCACCUGAAGGGAUAAAACAUUUAUUAAUUCCAGGGAAAUUAAAAAGUCAAUUCAAGGAAGGAAAAUAAUCCUUGUGAACAGCAUUUCCUAAUCUAAUUGUGAAUAGCAUUUCCUAGUCUAGCUGUGAAUAGCAUUUCUCUGGUCAUAAUAAUAUAAACAGUGAACACCCAGCUAACCAAAAUUAUAAAAUAACUAUAUUGAGAGGACAGGGGUAUAUGAAAGGGAGCUAUACACUAAGGAUGAUACAUAAGAGUGAAAAACAAAACAGCACUAUAACACACUAUUUGGAGGCACAGAUGUAACUAUCAAAAAAUUAGGCAAAAUAAAUAAAAUAGAUUGCCUCUAGGAUUCAGGAAAUGGUGUACAUGAAAGAUUGGGGACAUCUGGGUUCAUAACAAGCCUUGUAGAAGUAUUUGACUUUUGAAACACUGUCCAUAAAUCCAUUUGAUAUAUUAAAAACAUUAUGAGACAA